rnacentral:rRNA from 1 species
UACGUAGGGUGCGAGCGUUGUCCGGAAUUAUUGGGCGUAAAGAGCUUGUAGGCGGUUUGUCGCGUCUGCUGUGAAAACUCGAGGCUUAACCUCGAGCUUGCAGUGGGUACGGGCAGACUAGAGUGUGGUAGGGGAGACUGGAAUUCCUGGUGUAGCGGUGAAAUGCGCAGAUAUCAGGAGGAACACCGAUGGCGAAGGCAGGUCUCUGGGCCACUACUGACGCUGAGAAGCGAAAGCAUGGCGAGCGAACAGG